GAUUAAGUUAUUAAGGGCGCACGGUGGAUGCCUUGGCACUAGAAGCCGAUGAAGGACGUUACUAACGACGAUAUGCUUUGGGGAGCUGUAAGUAAGCUUUGAUCCAGAGAUUUCCGAAUGGGGAAACCCAGCAUGAGUUAUGUCAUGUUAUCGAUAUGUGAAUACAUAGCAUAUCAGAAGGCACACCCGGAGAACUGAAACAUCUUAGUACCCGGAGGAAGAGAAAGAAAAUUCGAUUCCCUUAGUAGCGGCGAGCGAAACGGGAAGAGCCCAAACCAACAAGCUUGCUUGUUGGGGUUGUAGGACACUCUAUACGGAGUUACAAAGGACGACAUUAGACGAAUCAUCUGGAAAGAUGAAUCAAAGAAGGUAAUAAUCCUGUAGUCGAAAAUGUUGUCUCUCUUGAGUGGAUCCUGAGUACGACGGAGCACGUGAAAUUCCGUCGGAAUCUGGGAGGACCAUCUCCUAAGGCUAAAUACUCUCUAGUGACCGAUAGUGAACCAGUACCGUGAGGGAAAGGUGAAAAGCACCCCGGAAGGGGAGUGAAAUAGAACCUGAAACCGUGUGCUUACAAGUAGUCAGAGCCCGUUAAUGGGUGAUGGCGUGCCUUUUGUAGAAUGAACCGGCGAGUUACGAUUUGAUGCAAGGUUAAGCAGUAAAUGUGGAGCCGUAGCGAAAGCGAGUCUGAAUAGGGCGUUUAGUAUUUGGUCGUAGACCCGAAACCAGGUGAUCUACCCUUGGUCAGGUUGAAGUUCAGGUAACACUGAAUGGAGGACCGAACCGACUUACGUUGAAAAGUGAGCGGAUGAACUGAGGGUAGCGGAGAAAUUCCAAUCGAACCUGGAGAUAGCUGGUUCUCUCCGAAAUAGCUUUAGGGCUAGCCUCAAGUGAUGAUUAUUGGAGGUAGAGCACUGUUUGGACGAGGGGCCCCUCUCGGGUUACCGAAUUCAGACAAACUCCGAAUGCCAAUUAAUUUAACUUGGGAGUCAGAACAUGGGUGAUAAGGUCCGUGUUCGAAAGGGAAACAGCCCAGACCACCAGCUAAGGUCCCAAAAUAUAUGUUAAGUGGAAAAGGAUGUGGCGUUGCCCAGACAACUAGGAUGUUGGCUUAGAAGCAGCCAUCAUUUAAAGAGUGCGUAAUAGCUCACUAGUCGAGUGACACUGCGCCGAAAAUGUACCGGGGCUAAACAUAUUACCGAAGCUGUGGAUUGUCCUUUGGACA
rnacentral:rRNA from 1 species